rnacentral:rRNA from 1 species
UCCGUAGGCGGUGUGGCAAGUCGGUAGUGAAACCUCUGGGCUUAACCCAGAGACUGCUGCCGAAACUGCUGUGCUAGAGUGUGAGAGAGGCGAGUGGAAUUACGGGUGUAGCGGUGAAAUGCGUAGAUAUCCGUAGGAACAUCCGAGGCGAAAGCGGCUCGCUGGAUCACAACUGACGCUGAGGGACGAAAGCUAGGGGAGCAAACAGGAUUAGAUACCCUGGUAGUCCUAGCCCUAAACCAUCAGGACUUGGGGUUUGCCCUGUACGGGGCAAGUCCCGUAGCUAACGCGUUAAGUCCUGCGCCUGGGGAUACGGUCGCAAGGCUGAA